rnacentral:rRNA from 1 species
CUGGCUCAGGACGAACGCUGGCGGCGUGCCUAAUACAUGCAAGUCGAGCGAACAGAGAAGGAGCUUGCUCCUUCGACGUUAGCGGCGGACGGGUGAGUAACACGUGGGCAACCUACCUUAUAGUUUGGGAUAACUCCGGGAAACCGGGGCUAAUACCGAAUAAUCUGUUUCACCUCAUGGUGAAACAUUGAAAGACGGUUU